rnacentral:rRNA from 1 species
ACUCCUACGGGAGGCAGCAGUGGGGAAUGAUUGCGACAAUGGGGGAAACCCUGAUGCAGCCAUGCCGCGUGUGUGAAGAAGGCCUUCGGGUUGUAAAGCACUUUCAGUAGGGAGGAAGGUAGUGUAGUUAACACCUGCACUAUUUGACGUUACCUACAGAAGAAGCACCGGCUAACUCCGUGCCAGCAGCCGCGGUAAUACGGAGGGUGCGAGCGUUAAUCGGAAUUACUGGGCGUAAAGCGCAUGCAGGCGGCCUGUUAAGUCAGAUGUGAAAGCCCGGGGCUUAACCUCGGAAUUGCAUUUGAAACUGGCAGGCUAGAGUCUUGUAGAGGGGGGUAGAAUUUCAGGGUGUAGCGGUGAAAGUGCAGUAGAGAUCUGAAGG